UACGUAGGGUGCGAGCGUUGUCCGGAAUUAUUGGGCGUAAAGAGCUUGUAGGCGGUCUGUCGCGUCUGCUGUGAAAACCCAGGGCUCAACCCUGGGCUUGCAGUGGAUACGGGCAGACUAGAGGUAGGUAGGGAGAAUGGAAUUCCCGUGUAGCGGUGAAAUGCGCAGAUAUCAGGAGGAACACCGGUGGCGAAGGCGGUUCUCUGGGCAUGUCCUGACGUGAGGAGCGAAAGUGUGGGGAGCGAACAGG
rnacentral:rRNA from 1 species